UGGAGCCGCAAGGGGGAUGCGCACUCUCCUCCUCAUCAUCCUUUUCCUCAUCUCCCUUCUCAUCUUCUUCCUCUUCUUCCUUCUCUUCCUCUUCCUCCACUUCCGAUUUCUCUUACUCCUCCUUUUGGCUCUUGGCACCCUUUCUGCCUGUGCUCAUUUUGCUCCUGGCCCAGUUGUGGAUUAUGGCGCAUGGGAAAUUUUAGUUCAUCUGCUUCCACGAUCCUUGUCCUUAUCCUUGGCAGGGAUUUGGCUCCAUCCUUGUAAUCAGUUUUUGUUCGCAGAAUUCCCCAUUGAAAACCAGUUAUCCCCUGGAGCAUUUCAUUGCUAAAUCCUAUCCAAAUUUUUAACUAUUAAUUUUAUUUAUUUUAUUUUAUUUUAAAUAAGAAUGGAGUCAUGAUGUCUGCCGGUCACAAGCAGGCCGAGGCGCGGCGGGACACCCGAGGCUGCCCGCAGAGCCCCCGGCCCGCUCCCGCUCCCGCUCCCGUUCCCUCCUGGAGCCGGCGCUCCCGGCGCUGUGUCCGUGUGCUUACACUGCCCUCUGCUUGCCCGAUCCCUGCUCCCAGUCACACCCGCCGGCAGCUCCUCAUCGCCCCCAAAUGCAGGGCAGAAAGCCGCCCAACAUCUGCUGCUCGCCCCACAGGAACCGUUCCGAUGGGAGUUUCUCAGAGGCGGCCGUGAGUCAGCCGGAGCGAGGAAGUGGGAUGUGUUUGGACAACAAUUACACCGUGCACUUGUCAGGGCAGAGGCUUCUUUAUGUGGGUGCAUAAUCCUUAACGUCAUGAGAAACCAAACCCUGAUUUACUGCUGCCCACAGGCCUAACAUUACUGCCGUGCAGGUAUUUCUUAUUCAUGGUAACUGUUAUCAAGCUCUUCUCGUCCCUGUGACAACCAUCUGUUGUUCCAGCCUUCUGCAACCUGUUCUUCUGUCUUUGCACAUGGAGUUGUAUUUCACUCACAUGUCCUUCGACCUAUGAGUUUUUCAGCUGAAUUUACCUUAUUUCCCUGUGGGAUUUUUUUGAAUUACAGGACAAUGCUGCAAGAGAUACCAGAGUUAAUGUUACAAUGCAGACUGCAAACCAAAAUUAUAUUCCUGGGAAAUGCUUACUUUGGCUAGCUUACUUUCAAAUUUGAACUUUAAGGGACCAAUAAAUUAAACAAAAUUUUAUUUUAAACAACAUUACCAGGUGUUACUGCUGGUCUUCAUCACUGUCCUCCCAUCUUUUGCACUCUGUACAACCCCACAGUACUUUUUUCACAUAGUUUUCCAAGAUUCCUUCCCCUGAUUAUACAAUGAAUAUUUAAAUCAGUGUUCUAGUUCUCUGUAAGAUCAACACAUACCUCUCUUCAGAAAGAUCUUGCAAGAGAUUACAGGUACACAGAAGAAAGUACACAGCUUUCUCCCAUUGCUCAGUCCUGGCUCUUGAAAUACAUUGUGAUUGUGCUCAUUUUGCUCCUGGCCUUAUUGUGGAUUCUGGUGCAUGGGAAAUUUUAGUUCAUCUGAUUCCAUGAUCCUGUCCGUAUCCUUGCCAGGGAUUUGGCUCCAUCCUGUAAUCAGUUUUUGUUCGCAGAAUUCCCCAUUGAAAACAAGUUAUCCCUGAAGCAUUUCAUUGCUAAAUCCUUAUCCAAAUUUAGAACUAACAACUUUUUCUGUUUGUUUUUUUUAAAUGAAGUCAUGAUAUAAUUUGUCUUUCACAACCAUUUUAAGUAUUCCACUGCAGCAGAGCAGCUCAGGUGUGAGAUUUUGACGUAAAACUGGUUUUCCUUUACCUAUGACUUUAACCAUUUCCAUAGUUUGCAAACAUUUGUAUUUCCAUGAUUCUUUCCUCCAGACUCCUAUACUAUUUCUGUUUCAAGCAGGGUAAAACCAGAGUGAACUUCAUGUAUCUGAAAUUGAAGUUUCUUGAUUGCAACUGUUCAGUCACAGCUGUGGCUGCAGUGUUGGGGGAGGCACGUGAAAGGGGCACAGCUGCACUUCCCCAGCAGCCAGUGCUGCUGCUCUCAGCUUCCACAGCCUGUGUAUUUCCACGGCAAAACUUUGCAGGAAUUAAACUAUCUUCUGCAUUAGAUAAAUCCUGAACUUCUUUCUCUUCUUCUGUAAUACUCCCCUAAAAUUUCUCCCCUGAUUUAUCACUUUCCAUUCUCAUCUCCAACUUUACCUGCUUUUUUCCCAAUGUAACAAUGGCUCUACACUGACUUCUUUUGGGAUGGAACUGCUUUUACCUCUCUGUAGUCCAAAAGCACGUUGGAAGAUAAGCCUUUAACUAGAGAUGUUACAGAGGUGGUACCUCCUGUGGUCCCAAAACUUAUCAGAUAGGGAAACCACAAACAAUGGUCAACAAAAACUACAGGACAGGGUGGGAGAGAGGAGUGUGUGAUCAUGUCUGAGACAGGGCAGGUGGUAGCUUUAAUCAAUGUCACUCAGUAUUCAACCAGAGUCUUCCUUCAUCUUAUACCCACGAGUAAAGCCCUGGCAGGGAUCCAGUUUAUAAUUCAGAUCUUGGUAAACACAGACCUAAAUUUCCCUCAUGACAAGGUUCGAUAGUAAUUGUCUAGCACUUUAAAUAUCUAAUUACAAACAUGCUACCACAUGGUAAAGUGGUCCGUGUCUGUUCACUCAACUGUGUGUCUUCAGGAAGGGCCAUCUGUUUCCAACAAAACAGUGAGACACAAAUGUAGGCAGGUUUCUAAAUUAAAAAGAAAGGGAAAAAACAGAGAGGGGAAAGAAAGCAAACUAAAGAGAGACAGAAAGUUGUCUUUGCAAUAAAGCACAAGCUGAAAUAGGUACAAUCAGAAUGAACCUCAGGAGACAGUUUUCACCUAGGGAACCAAUGGAUGGCAUGGCUUCUCUAAGAUGUCCUUCUGAGCAUUAUUUUUUGGCACCUAAACUGCUGCAUUAAGAAUAUGGAAGUCUUCACUACAGGAUGAGUUUGGUCCAUCUUGACCCCCAUGUUUCAUAAAGAAAUAGCAGCUCCUUUAACCUCCUGUCUCCACAUCCAGGUCAUGGAUCCAGUGAAUUACAGAAGCAAGACAAGCAGGUUGGGAUAGCAGUUCUCAGUUGGAACAGCAAGUCUCAGGUGCUUCAAGGCUGACUGAUUAAGAUGCAAGUCCUGGCUGAAACUUCUUCUGUACUUGAGGAGUUGUUACAAGUCCAGCAAAGGCUGCCCAGAAAGAAGAACUGAGCAGGAGGAGUGUGACACAGGCACCAGGCUCAGAAAGCAGCAGUGAAACCCUCCAGAUCCAAACCUGUUACCACAGGGCGAGGCUCCAUGGUUUCCUCUUGAAGCUAAUGAAGCAUCUCAUGGCUUAGUUUAAAUCAAAGGCAAGUGCAGUGCAUUGCUGUGCAAGCAGCAAUAUUUAUUUAAAAUCACAAGAAAACGUCUGAUUUCAAACUGCAAUAGAUCAAUACUAUGAGGACCACUGGAAUUAUAAUAAAGAUCAGCCAUGGUACUUCUGUCUUCUUUUUAAACUACAAAAAGACACCUCUUGUCUUCUGUGUGCUCUUGGCAAGGAUUAUACACUUAUUUUGUGUUGGUGCACUGCCCAGUGCAACAGAGACCUGGACCAUCACAGCAGUUCCUAGGUACUUUGGGUAGAUAAGUAAUAAUGGUAAUUUGCAAGCAAGAAAUUGUUUUGAGGGUUCAAGGCAGUGAUGUGUUUUCUGUGAAGCAAAAUAUGUAGCAUGUCCUCCCAGAAAAAUCACUUAAAAUACUUUGCAUACAGAUCUGUAGAUCCCAAAUGCAGGGAGGCACUGUAAACAGCUAAAAGAAUUCCUCUCUCCCCACCCCAAGAGCUAUCAUCAAAUAUGUGUUUUGAGGACCAAGUGUAAUCUUUGAACGUAUUUUUUUCUGUUUCAGUUCUUUUUUAAUGUUCUAAAGACAGCAGGUACUUAUUUAAAAUAAGCAUCUCAAACUUUGUCAUUAAAAUAGAUGCUCUGAUAUUUUUAUAUUUUUAAACUCAUUAUGUAUGUCUGUAUGCUGAGGCCUUCUGUGAAAAUAAUUAAAGGCAAGCUUCAUGAGAGCAAUGUAUUUUUUUCCUGGUUACUAACCUUGUACAAAUU